rnacentral:lncRNA from 1 species
AGGAAAGAGAAACCAGAGUGAAUUAUGACUCUUGCCCAGUUUUUGGUUGAAUACUGCCUGCAUGCUGCUACAAUGCCCCUUUUACAGAACAUUGUCUAACAUGUAAAUAUUCUGGAAUAGUACCCCCAAAUUCAACUUGACAUGAAGACAAGAACAAAACCAUUCAGUACUGAUUAAAUGCUUGGGAUAAUGUGCAACAAUCUAGAUGAUCCAAAGAGUAUUUGAUGACAUUGCAUUAAUGACCUUAAGUUAAUAGCUGCACCCUUCUGGUUACCGCUAGAACUGAGCUUUCGCUCGCCGUCCACCACUGCUGUUUUGCUGCCGUCGCAGACCCGCCGCUGACUUCCAUCCCUCCAAUCCAGCAGGGCGCCCGCUGUGCUCCUGAUCCAGGGAAGCACCCGUUGCCACUCCUGAUCGCGCUAAAGGCUUGCCAUUGUUCCUGCAUGGCUAAGUGCCUGGUUUCGUCCUAAUCAAGCUGAACACUAGUCACUGGG